AGAGUUUGAUCCUGGCUCAGAACGAACGCUGGCGGCACGCCUAACACAUGCAAGUCGAGCGCCCAGCAAUGGGAGCGGCGGACGGGUGAGGAACACGUGGGAACAUGCCUUUCGGUUCGGCACAACUGCGGGAAACUGCAGCUAAUUCCGGAUACGCCCUUACGGGGAAAGAUUUAUCGCCGAAAGAUUGGCCCGCGUCUGAUUAGCUAGUUGGUGAGGUAAUGGCUCACCAAGGCUUCGAUCAGUAGCUGGUUUGAGAGAACGACCAGCCACACUGGGACUGAGACACGGCCCAGACUCCUACGGGAGGCAGCAGUGGGGAAUCUUGGACAAUGGAGGAAACUCUGAUCCAGCGAUGCCGCGUGAGUGAUGAAGGCCUUCGGGUUGUAAAACUCUUU
rnacentral:rRNA from 1 species